rnacentral:tRNA from 1 species
GUAAGUAUAAUUUAACCAAAAUAUCAGAUUGUGAUUCUGAAAACAGGGGUUAAAAUCCCCUUACUCACCAAGGAAGGACAGAAAUCAGUAAGUGCUGCUAAUACUUAUGACCCAAGGUUAAAAUCCUCGGCUUCUUUA